UACGGAGGGUGCGAGCGUUGUCCGGAAUCACUGGGCGUAAAGGGCGCGUAGGUGGCGUGGUCAGCGUGCGGUGAAAGCCCGGGGCUCAACUCCGGGUCGGCCGUGCGAACUGCCAUGCUUGAGCACGGUAGGGGCCAAUGGAAUUCCGGGUGUAGCGGUGGAAUGCGUAGAGAUCCGGAAGAACACCGGUGGCGAAGGCGGUUGGCUGGGCCGUUGCUGACACUGAGGCGCGACAGCGUGGGGAGCAAACAGG
rnacentral:rRNA from 1 species